GCUUCCCUCUGGCGGCGUGCCUAAUACAUGCAAGUCGAGCGAACGGACGAGAAGCUUGCUUCUCUGAUGUUAGCGGCGGACGGGUGAGUAACACGUGGAUAACCUACCUAUAAGACUGGGAUAACUUCGGGAAACCGGAGCUAAUACCGGAUAAUAUUUUGAACCGCAUGGUUCAAAAGUGAAAGACGGUCUUGCUGUCACUUAUAGAUGGAUCCGCGCUGCAUUAGCUAGUUGGUAAGGUAACGGCUUACCAAGGCAACGAUGCAUAGCCGACCUGAGAGGGUGAUCGGCCACACUGGAACUGAGACACGGUCCAGACUCCUACGGGAGGCAGCAGUAGGGAAUCUUCCGCAAUGGGCGAAAGCCUGACGGAGCAACGCCGCGUGAGUGAUGAAGGUCUUCGGAUCGUAAAACUCUGUUAUUAGGGAAGAACAUAUGUGUAAGUAACUGUGCACAUCUUGACGGUACCUAAUCAGAAAGCCACGGCUAACUACGUG
rnacentral:rRNA from 1 species